rnacentral:lncRNA from 1 species
AUGAAUGUGAGCACUAGCCCAAUGGUUAAGGCCUGCCUAAAUUUCCCUCACAUUCUAGGUUCUACCUACACCACUCUCUACUUCAAAACUCUUCUAAGCCCCCAAGUUUUGCUGAAAAAUAUUCUUAAAAGUUUUAAAAAUUCAAUCUAGUCUAUCAAUUGUUCUUCUCCAAAUUUUUGAAACUCAUGCCAUUAGUUCGUUGAAUUUCUAUCAAGAUUGGUAAGUACC